CCUACGGGAGGCAGCAGUGGGGGAUAUUGCACAAUGGGGGGAACCCUGAUGCAGCGACGCCGCGGGGGUGAAGGAGCGUUUCGGCGCGUAAAGCCCUAUCGGCAGGGACGAAGGAGGCCGGUACCUGCCUACGAAGCGCCGGCUAACUAGGUGCCAGCAGCCGCGGUAAUACGUAGGGGGCAGGGGUGAUCCGGAUUUACUGGGUGUAAAGGGGGCACAGCCGGCAGCGCCAGCCAGGAGUGAAAGCCCGGGGCCCAACCCCGGGACUGCUCUUGGAACUGCGCGGCGUGAGUGCAGGAGGGGCAAGCGGAAUUCCUGGUGUAGCGGUGAAAUGCGUAGAUAUCAGGAGGAACACCGGUGGCGAAGGCGGCCUGCUGGACUGCGACUGACGCUGAGGCCCGAAAGCGUGGGGAGCAAACAGGAUUAGAUACCCGAGUAGUC
rnacentral:rRNA from 1 species